GAGCCAUGUCAACGGAAAGCGGAGUCGCAUUCGCCACAUUACUAAAGAUGAUUUCAUUUAUUUGACUUGCCACCAGUCGUUAUUGUAUCCUGAACUUCGCGACGUAUGGCGGACAGCAGGAAUGAGCGAGACCGCAUUGCGCAAGUGUAUUUGAGCAGCUCGCGAACGGAGAGUUUUGGCUGGCCUGAUGACAGCUGCCUUCAACGGCUGGAAGGAUUAACACGUGAAAUCCUACGCCAAGAAAGACAAUAUUUUAGGAC